AACGAACGCUGGCGGCAUGCCUAACACAUGCAAGUCGAACGAGACCUUCGGGUCUAGUGGGGCACGGGUGCGUAACGCGUGGGAACCUGCCCUUAGGUUCGGAAUAACUCCCCGAAAGGGGUGCUAAUACCGGAUAAUGUCUUCGGACCAAAGAUUUAUCGCCUUUGGAUGGGCCCGCGUUGGAUUAGCUAGUUGGUAGGGUAAAAGCCUACCAAGGCGACGAUCCAUAGCUGGUCUGAGAGGAUGAUCAGCCACACUGGGACUGAGACACGGCCCAGACUCCUACGGGAGGCAGCAGUGGGGAAUAUUGGACAAUGGGCGAAAGCCUGAUCCAGCAAUGCCGCGUGAGUGAUGAAGGCCUUAGGGUUGUAAAGCUCUUUUACCCGGGAUGAUAAUGACAGUACCGGGAGAAUAAGCUCCGGCUAACUCCGUG
rnacentral:rRNA from 1 species